GCACUGCUGAGGAGUCCCAUAAUAGGACGAAGCGGCCGUCCGUUGC
rnacentral:hammerhead_ribozyme from 1 species